CAGAGGGUGCAUGCCCGAUUUUGUUCAAUUCAGGUUAAUGAUGGUUGAAGGUAACACGAACCAUUUGGGCCCUAAGCCCAGACGCGGUCCGACCCUAACUUGCCAAGGAACAAAAGAGUUGACAUGCGGCAAGAUUUAUUUAGAUUCCGAUCAGAUCUUCUCCGUCUCCAGCGUCCAUGUUGUAGCUCAUAGCGUCUCUAGCCUACAUUCACCACUCAGCAUCACCCGGGUGUUCUACCUUCGGAUUAUGCCUCGCAUUCUUUUCAACAAAUGGCGUUUUCCGCCAUCGUGUUUAUUCGUUGCCACGUUUACUCGUCGCUGUCGUGGCUCAUGAAUUCCACCACUCAUUGAGUCCAUUCACUCUAUUAUGUAUGCUAACAGAAGAAAACAAAACGUGUUGAGUCGAAAACUAACCCGGAUCGAACUUUCUCUUGAUUCUUUUUCUUUUGCCUUUUUGAUCUCCUUCUUCUUCUUCUUCACAUUGUUGUCAUGUAUUUGUGACCGUGAGCGCCGAGUUGUUGAGUAUUGUUGAGCGGUGUGAGGUGUGGAUUAAGGUAGAGCUCAACUGUUAAAGCUUCUAAUGUUGAAGCUCUACAGUUAUGGUGAUGAGCGUGUGGUGAGGGUGAGAGAUAGAGAUUCGAAGAUGAUUUUAGAGGAUUGAAGGUGCUAAUUAUCAAGGCCUAAAAAUGAUGAAGGAGAUGAUGAUUUAUAGUGCUUAGGCUUGGGAUUAGGAUAGGUUUGGAUUCAGGUCUGGAAUUAGUUAGGAGUUGGUUUGGAGUUAGUUAUUUUCCACUCACUGAGUUGAAUCCCUAACCCAGUUAGUUAGUAACAAAUGAAUUAGUUAGUUGAACCAUGAUAAAAUCCAAUGGUUGUGGAGUGUAAGUUAGGUUAGCUUUAGGAUUUUGGUUAGUGCAGUCCAUAAAGGGUGAAUGGUAUGUUGGUUGUUAAUGUUAAGUGAAGUUUUUGUUAAAUGGAGUGAAUGAUGAGUUAAUUGAAAUGUCUUAUAUGUGGAAUGUCUUCUGCAGGAUGGGUUUUGUUGAUGGAUAGGUUGAUAUGAUGUUUGACGCAGGUUCUACAGCUUCACCAUUGGUUUAUGGAGCGACUUUGCAGCUGGCGUGGCUUACGUGUUACCGUCGGUUAGGUUCCGCUGCCGUUCUGUAUGCAGCUGGUUCUGGAAAUUUUUAACAUUCUCUUUGGAUAAUACUGUUGGCACUAUGGAGACCAACUGAAGCAUAUUAAAUGAGAAGCGCUUGGCUAUUUCUGGAUGAAUAAAAGCAACCGGAGUAAGCCCAUCAUUUAGUUCUUGUCAAUGAAGCAACAUCUUUGCAGUAUGCUCUUUACUAUUGGAACCGACAUGUGAAUCGCCUGGCGAAUCUGAAUUUCUUUUGCGUGUCUUUGGAGUAACAUUAGCCUCAGCUCUUAGCAUGAGUUGUACCACCGCAUUCUUGGGAAAGACAGAAGCAACAUAGAAUGUGAUAACAGUGUGACCAUUCAAACACAAAUGGAAACCUUAUCCCUUCAUGAAAAAUCCUAACUUGAUUGAGAAUUUGAGCUUCAGCUUGUUCAGAAUUGAGUUCCAGAAUUUUCCAAUCAUCCUCAGUAUCUGGCUCUAUCGAGACGGAAGAAGCGUGAGGGACGUUAGAAGUGACUAUAACUCAAACCGGAGAAUGAAUCGGCAAGGAAAUGCAAUCGGAAAAAUGUUGAGAAACAUAAAUUGACGAAGGAUAAGAGGAAGUGGCUCCGGACCAGGCGACAAACCAGGAGUGAGGAUAGUGAGUAGAAGAACGAAGUUCGAGAGCGAUAAUUGGAGGGAGUGAAGAUGAAGACGUGGAUUAAGGAGUUUGGAUUGAAAAUAGAAUGAAGUUGAGUGAUUAUUUGGUGUAUGAAAUAAGUCUGCGAAUUCAGGGCAUUACUAGGCUGCAAUAGAAGGUCAUGGUGCCAUGGUUUGAUGCAAGUAGAGCAAGGAAACUUUUUAGGACAAGGUUCAUGCGUACAAGUUGGUGCGACGAUGUGUCUUGCUGCAAGAUGUAUUCAUGUCAUUGGUUUUCUCAUGCCAUGUGUAGCAGUAAAUUCAUGAUCAUCAAGCUAUGGAUAAGCUAGAGAUCAAAUAACAAGAGUCGCCACCGCGCUUUUAUUAUUUCCAAGGGAAAAGGGAAAAAUUAAGAACAAGAUCCAAAAGUAAGAAGUUUUCAAAUCAAAACUAAUAAAAUGUCAGAGAUUACAGGUAAGGGGGUUGGUUACACAUAGGGAAGGUGUUAGCACCAAAAGUAUCCUAGGUACUCCUAGGACACCUUUUUUGUGUGCAUAUUUAUUUGGUACAAAAAUGAUGUUUACAAACAAAUAGAGUGGGUGGAUGAGAAAAGAAUUUAUUAAUUAUAUUUUUGUGUUUGACAAGA